CUCUCAGGAAGGAUAUGUAAAGUUAUUAUUGGAAUAACAGUCACGUCUGAACUACAGUCCAAUUCUAUUGAGAGACACCACAGAACACAAACAUUCCAAACUCUCCCUAUUCCCUUUUCCAUUCCGAACUAUCCAGAUUCUCUGUCCUAUAUCAAACUGUCAGGAUUCUCUGUUCUAUAUCAAACUAUCCAGAUUCUCUGUUCUAUAUCAAAUUAUCCAGAUUCUCUGUUCUAUAUCAAACUGUCAGGAUUCUCUGUUCUAUAUCAAACUAUCCAGAUUCUCUGUUCUAUAUCAAAUUAUCCAGAUUCUCUGUUCUAUAUCAAACUGUCAGGAUUCUCUGUUCUAUAUCAAACUAUCCAGAUUCUCUGUACCUUAUCAAAUUAUCCAGAUUCUCUGUUCUAUAUCAAACUGUCAGGAUUCUCUGUUCUAUAUCAAACUGUCAGGAUUCUCUGUUCUAUAUCAAAUUAUCCAGAUUCUCUGUUCUACAUCAAACUGUCUGGAUUCUCUGUUCUAUAUCAAACUGUCUGGAUUCUCUGUUCUAUAUCAAACUGUCAGGAUUCUCUGUUCUAUAUCAAACUAUCCAGAUUCUCUGUUCUAUAUCAAACUAUCCGGAUUCUCUGUUCUAUAUCAAACUGUCAGGAUUCUCUGUUCUAUAUCAAACUGUCAGGAUUCUCUGUUCUAUAUCAAACUGUCAGGAUUCUCUGUUCUAUAUCAAACUGUCAGGAUUCUCUGUUCUAUAUCAAACUGUCAGGAUUCUCUGUUCUAUAUCAAAUUGUCAGGAUUCUGUUCUAUAUCAAAUUAUCCAGAUUCUCUGUUCUAUAUCAAACUGUCAGGAUUCUCUGUUCUAUAUCAAAUUAUCCAGAUUCUCUGUCCUAUAUCAAACUGUCAGGAUUCUCUGUUCUAUAUCAAACUGUCAGGAUUCUCUGUUCUAUAUCAAACUGUCAGGAUUCUCUGUUCUAUAUCAAACUAUCCAGAUUCUCUGUUCUAUAUCAAACUGUCAGGAUUCUCUGUUCUAUAUCAAACUGUCAGGAUUCUCUGUUCUAUAUCAAACUGUCUGGAUUCUCUGUCCUAUAUCAAACUGUCAGGAUUCUCUGUUCUAUAUCAAACUGUCAGGAUUCUCUGUUCUAUGUCAAACUGUCAGGAUUCUCUGUUCUAUAUCAAACUGUCAGGAUUCUCUGUUCCAAUUCAGUGUUGCAGUGCUUAUGCGUCUCUCAAUGUAACAUCUCUCCAGACAGCUACUCCUAA
rnacentral:lncRNA from 1 species